UCCUAUUGGGCCAUGCUUCAACAAUCAACAGUUUAUGCCUGCAAUACAUGUAAUUGGUCAUCAUCUUGCAACGAAUUUUUUGAAUGGCUUAUUUUCAAAGAAUUCAAGCAGUAAAUGUAAUUUAUAAUGAAAGGAUCUAAACGAUCAGCGGAAACUAAAAGAGACAUGAUCAACCUCCAGCCAUUGCUAUUGUUGUUAUGAAGGUUCAUGGGGGUGACGGUUUUACUCCACGGCAACUUGCGGUUUUACUCCACAACAAUUUCAUAAUUGAUUGUAGUUUCAAACUCUUACUCACUCGUAUUUGAUGGUGUUAGUAUAUAAAAUGAGGAAUGAAUUCGGUGACCUAUCAGGUCAGCAGCACAGGCCUUAUAUAGAGGAGCUCUGACCAUCAUCAACAAACUCAAGUGUGCAGAUAUGGGAGAUAAUUGUGAGAUAAUGGUUACAGUAGCUUUUAGAUAUUAGAGUUAAAC
rnacentral:lncRNA from 1 species